UGGAACAUAGUUCAGCGGCUAGAGCAUCCGGCUCAUAACCGGAGUGUCGGCGGUUCGAAUCCGUCUGUUCCAA
rnacentral:tRNA from 1 species